GGGAAUUUUCCGCAAUGGGCGAAAGCCUGACGGAGCAAUACCGCGUGAGGGAAGAAGGCCUCUGGGCUGUAAACCUCUUUUCUCAAGGAAGAAGACCUGACGGUACUUGAGGAAUAAGCCACGGCUAAUUCCGUGCCAGCAGCCGCGGUAAUACGGGAGUGGCAAGCGUUAUCCGGAAUUAUUGGGCGUAAAGCGUCCGCAGGCGGCCUUGUAAGUCUGUUGUUAAAGCGUGGAGCUCAACUCCAUUUGAGCAAUGGAAACUACAAGGCUUGAGUGUGGUAGGGGCAGAGGGAAUUCCCGGUGUAGCGGUGAAAUGCGUAGAUAUCGGGAAGAACACCAGUGGCGAAGGCGCUCUGCUGGGCCAUAACUGACGCUCAUGGACGAAAGCCAGGGGAGCGAAAGGGAUUAGAUACCCCUGUAGUCA
rnacentral:rRNA from 1 species